rnacentral:rRNA from 1 species
CCUACGGGAGGCAGCAGUGAGGAAUAUUGGUCAAUGGACGCAAGUCUGAACCAGCCAAGCCGCGUGCAGGAAGACGGCUCUAUGAGUUGUAAACUGCUUUUGUACGAGGGUAAACGCAGAUACGCGUAUCUGUUUGAAAGUAUCGUAUGAAUAAGCAUCGGCUAACUCCGUGCCAGCAGCCGCGGUAAUACGGAGGAUUCAAGCGUUAUCCGGAUUUAUUGGGUUUAAAGGGUGCGUAGGUUGUCUGAUAAGUUAGCGGUGAAAUCCCGAGGCUCAACUUUGGAAUUGCCUCUGAUACUGUUCGGCUAGAGAGUAGUUGAGGUAGGCGGAAUGUAUGGUGUAGCGGUGAAAUGCUUAGAGAUCAUACAGAACACCGAUUGCGAAGGCAGCUUACCAAGCUACUUCUGACGUUGAGGCACGAAAGCGUGGGGAGCAAACAGGAUUAGAUACCCCGGUAGUC